CUGUUUAUUUAUGGUGAAUUUUCUUUUAGUCAUGAUAAAUCUAUAUUAACUGCUCAGAAUCUUUAAUUUUUACUAGACGGCUAUAUCACAAUCCUAUUCGUAUAGGAAACAUUAAGAGUUGGACAUACAGGUUGAUA
rfam:Populus trichocarpa isolate Nisqually-1 chromosome 6, whole genome shotgun sequence.